UAGGGAAUCUUCCGCAAUGGACGCAAGUCUGACGGAGCAACGCCGCGUGAGUGAAGAAGGUUUUCGGAUCGUAAAGCUCUGUUGUUAAGGAAGAACGAGUGUGAGAAUGGAAAGUUCAUGCUGUGACGGUACUUAACCAGAAAGGGACGGCUAACUACGUGCCAGCAGCCGCGGUAAUACGUAGGUCCCGAGCGUUGUCCGGAUUUAUUGGGCGUAAAGCGAGCGCAGGCGGUUAGAAAAGUCUGAAGUGAAAGGCAGUGGCUCAACCAUUGUAGGCUUUGGAAACUGUUUAACUUGAGUGCAGAAGGGGAGCGUGGAAUUCCAUGUGUAGCGGUGAAAUGCGUCGAUAUAUGGAGGAACACCGGUGGCGAAAGCGGCUCUCUGGUCUGUAACUGACGCUGAGGCUCGAAAGCGUGGGGAGCGAACAGG
rnacentral:rRNA from 1 species